GACGGGUGGAGUAAUGUCUGGGAAACUGCCUGAUGGAGGGGGAGUAACUACUGGAAACGGUAGCUAAUACCGCAUAACGUCGCAAGACCAAAGAGGGGGACCUUCGGGCCUCUUGCCAUCAGAUGUGCCCAGAUGGGAUUAGCUAGUAGGUGGGGUAACGGCUCACCUAGGUGACGAUCCCUAGCUGGUCUGAGAGGAUGACCAGCCACACUGGAACUGAGACACGGUCCAGACUCCUACGGGAGGCAGCAUG
rnacentral:rRNA from 1 species